AUGACAUUAUUAGUGGGUCUUAUGGUUGUGGAAAGCCCCCGACGUGCUGCACCAGCAGCAUCGGAACGACACCGGCCUCGGGGACGACCACAGAGACGUGGUGCAGCGGAACGACACCGGCCUCGGGGACGACCACAGAGACGUGGUGCAGCAGAACGACACCGGCCUCGGGACGACCACGGGGACGUGGUGCAGCGGAACGACACCGGCCUCGGGGACAACCACGGGGACGUGGUGCAGCGGAACGACACCGGCCUCGGGGACGACCACGGGGACGUGGUGCAGCGGAACGACACCGGCCUCGGGGACGACCACGGGGACGUUGGUGCAGCGGAACGACACCGGCCUCGGGGACGACCACGGGGACGUGGUGCAGCGGAACGACACCGGCCUCGGGGACGACCACGGGGACGUGGUGCAGCGGAACGACACCGGCCUCGGGGACGACCACGGGGACGUGGUGCAGCGGAACGACACCGGCCUCGGGGACGACCACGGGGACGUGGUGCAGCGGAACGACACCGGCCUCGGGGACGACCACAGAGACGUGGUGCAUCGGAACGACACCGGCCUCGGGGACGACCACGGGGACGUGGUUCAGCGGAACGACACCGGCCUCGGGGACGACCACGGGGACGUGGUGCAGCGGAACGACACCGGCCUCGGGGACGACCACGGGGACGUGGUGCAGCGGAACGACACCGGCCUCGGGGACGACCACGGGGACGUGGUGCAGCGGAACGACACCGGCCUCGGGGACGACCACGGGGACGUGGUGCAGCGGAACGACACCGGCCUCGGGGACGACCACGGGGACGUGGUGCAGCGGAACGACACCGGCCUCGGGGACGACCACGGGGACGUGGUGCAGCGGAACGACACCGGCCUCGGGGACGACCACAGAGACGUGGUGCAUCGGAACGACACCGGCCUCGGGGACGACCACGGGGACAUGGUUCAGCGGAACGACACCGGCCUCGGGGACGACCACGGGGACGUGGUGCAGCGGAACGACACCGGCCUCGGGGACGACCACGGGGACGUGGUGCAGCGGAACGACACCGGCCUCGGGGACGACCACGGGGACGUGGUGCGGGUCGGUCAGGGCCAGUUGCAGCUGCUGUAGUUGCGGCAGCGUCGGACAGGCCAUUCCUGCUGUCUCCAUUUAGAGUCGGUUAUUCUGUCACGUAUAAAGAUCGGAGACAGGUGCAGGAAUAUGUAAUAGGGGUUUUUAAUACCCCACCCAAAAUACAAUAUGCCAUGAAAAGGCACGGGGACGAAGUCCAAAACAAACACAUAUAUAAAAUACACAGGGAUGUAACCCAAACAAAAGAGCGAGGUUAA
rnacentral:lncRNA from 1 species